rfam:Pan troglodytes isolate Yerkes chimp pedigree #C0471 (Clint) chromosome X, whole genome shotgun sequence.
GUAGGUUUUUGCUCAUGCACCAUGGUUGUCUGAGCAUGCAGCAUGCUUGUCUGCUCAUACCCCAUGGUUUCUGAGCAGGAACCUUC